AUUGAACGCUGGCGGCAGGCUUAACACAUGCGAGUCGAACGAUGAAACUCUAGCUUGCUAGAGAUGAUUAGUGGCGGACGGGUGAGUAACAUUUAGGAAUCUGCCUCGUAGUGGGGGAUAGCUCGGGGAAACUCGAAUUAAUACCGCAUACGACCUACGGGUGAAAGGGGGCGCAAGCUCUUGCUAUUAGAUGAGCCUAAAUCAGAUUAGCUAGUUGGUGGGGUAAAGGCCCACCAAGGCGACGAUCUGUAACUGGUCUGAGAGGAUGAUCAGUCACACCGGAACUGAGACACGGUCCGGACUCCUACGGGAGGCAGCAGUGGGGAAUAUUGGACAAUGGGGGCAACCCUGAUCCAGCCAUGCCGCGUGUGUGAAGAAGGCCUUUUGGUUGUAAAGCACUUUAAGCAGGGAGGAGAGGCUAAUGGUUAAUACCCAUUAGAUUAGACGUUACCUGCAGAAUAAGCACCGGCUAACUCUGUG
rnacentral:rRNA from 1 species